GACUUUACUCUCUGUUUUGGGUAGGGACCAUUGUAUAGUCUGAGGUAAAAAAGAGGGUGAGACAUAAUUCAAGCAGAAAAUUUGGGCGAGGGUAGCUGUGUGCUUAGAAGACACCAGCCCUGCUCAGGGCUGUUCAUUGCUGAGGCUGUCAUUAAAUACCUGGAAAUAACAAACACCUGCUCAAAGGUGGGUUCUAAGCCAUUUGUGACAGAAUGGACUCCCCUGAUCUGGCUCAAAGUCUAUGUGGAUGCAGCUGCCCCAGAACAAUUCUUUGAACAAACUGGAAACCACCAGGAAGGCACUGGACUGGUUACAUACCUUAUCUUUGUGGUGGAUACCAGCACAACAAGGUGUUUCAGAAACUAUUGAAGCUGAUGAAUCGAAGACCAGUCAUUGAUCUUCACUGGGACUGGAAGGUGCUGAGCCUUGGCUGAUCAGGCACCCAUGGAGAAACUGGAGGAGAAUUUUCACAAAUAGAGAAUCCUGUGUUGUGACAGGGCUCUGCUCAUCUGAUCAGAUUAGCUUAAAUCAGUUCCUCUUCCUAAUACAUGCUGCUAGGAGGUCAAUGGUGCUUCUGAAGUCCAUAUAGGACCUACAGCCUGAGAGUAAACAAGCCACCUGCAUCCUUUUUAUUUCAGAGAACAGGGGAGGGAAAAAAAGGUGCAAACACUUACUUAUGGCACAUUUCACAGGCUGCAAUCAGUUUACAGGUCACUGGGAGACAUUCAGGCAAAGGCAUAACAUAUGUCUAAGGGGCUCAAAGUAGGAGGCUAUCUAGAAAAUUUGAUUUAAGUUAUAAGGAAGCUUAUUUAAAGCACUAAAAUUCAAAAGGCAGAGUCUCUCAUAACCUAAGGUACUGAACCUUUAAGAGUUACUCCAUCCCACUCCAAUAAGGGUGUUUUUCAGCUUGAAGUCUAGUAUUAAGCAUUACUAAGGACAUUCGUUUCUAGUUGCAAAAUGUGAUAACCUUUCUAUAACUAAAGGUAUAAAUAAAAUGUCACCUUUUAUUCUGUGUCA
rnacentral:lncRNA from 1 species